rnacentral:rRNA from 1 species
GAUGAACGCUGGCGGCGUGCCUAAUACAUGCAAGUCGAGCGAACGGAUAAGGAGCUUGCUCCUUUGAAGUUAGCGGCGGACGGGUGAGUAACACGUGGGUAACCUACCUAUAAGACUGGAAUAACUUCGGGAAACCGGAGCUAAUGCCGGAUAACAUUUGGAACUGCAUGGUUCUAAAGUAAAAGAUGGCUUUGCUAUCACUUAUAGAUGGACCCGCGCCGUAUUAGCUAGUUGGUAAGGUAACGGCUUACCAAGGCAACGAUACGUAGCCGACCUGAGAGGGUGAUCGGCCACACUGGAACUGAGACACGGUCCAGACUCCUACGGGAGGCAGCGGUAGGGAAUCUUCCGCAAUGGACGAAAGUCUGACGGAGCAACGCCGCGUGAGUGAUGAAGGUUUUCGGGUCGUAAAACUCUGUUAUUAGGGAAGAACAAAUGUGUAAGUAACUGUGCACAUCUUGACGGUACCUAAUCAGAAAGCCACGGCUAACUACGUGCCAGCCGCCGCUGUAA